AGCUCGUAGUUGAACCUUGGACCUGGCUGAUCUGUCCUCCUAAUCGAGCGUACGGAUUCGGUCGGGUCUUUCCUUCUGGGGAACCCUAUGUCCUUCAUUGGGUGUAGUGGGGAACCAGGACUUUUACCUUGAAAAAAUUAGAGUGUUCAAAGCAGGCCUUUGCUCGAAUACAUUAGCAUGGAAUAAUAGAAUAGGACAUCGGUUCUAUUUUGUUGGUUUCUAGGACCGCUGUAAUGAUUAAUAGGGAUAGUCGGGGGCGUCCGUAUUCAAUUGUCAGAGGUGAAAUUCUUGGAUUUAUUGAAGACGAACUACUGCGAAAGCAUUCGCCAAGGAUGUUUUCAUUAAUCAGUGAACGAAAGUCAGGGGAUCGAAGACGAUCAGAUACCGUCGUAGUCUUAACCAUAAACUAUGCCGACUAGGGAUCGGACGGUGGUUUUUUUAUGCCCCGUUCGG
rnacentral:rRNA from 1 species